rnacentral:rRNA from 1 species
GAAAAGAAACCAACAGGGAUUGCUUCAGUAAGGGGAAGUGAAGCGGCAAAAGCUCAAAUUUGAAAUCCUUCGGGAAUUGUAUUUUGAAGGUGGGUUUGGUUAGGAAAAGUUACUUUAAGUCCAUUGGAAAAGGGCGCCAUGGAGGGUGAUAGCCCGGUAAAAGUAUCCCUUUUCCUUUUAUCCAUUCCCUCCAAAGAGUCGAGUUGUUUGGGAAUGCAGCUUUAAGUGGGUGGUAAAUUCCAUCUAAAGCUAAAUAUUGGCGAGAGACCGAUAGCGAACAAGUACAGUGAUGGAAAGAUGAAAAGCACUUUGAAAAGAGAGUGAAAAAGUACGUGAAAUUGUUGAAAGGGAAGGGCUUGCAAGCAGACACAACCUCGGUUGGGCCAGCAUCGGAGUGGGGGGAGACAAAAAAGAAAAGGAAUGUAACUCAUUGAGUAUUAUAGCCUUUUUCUC